rnacentral:rRNA from 1 species
AAGGCUAGUGAUAGUUGGAGCGGACCAAUACUAAUCGGUCGAGGACUUAACCAA